AGUACAGUUCGUCAAGGACCCAUUAUACAAGCAGGCAAAUGAAUGCAUCCCAUCCACCAGCUUCGGUCCUGUUUGAGGAGAAGGGGGUCGAGCCGAGGAAAAAUUACAGCGGGAUGGCGGCGGCGAGCUCGCACACUGCUUGUCUACUCGCGGCCGCGGACGUUGUCUCCGAGCAGCGGAGGCGCAGCCAUGGCGAUGGAUUUCCCCGUCUCUCCGGUAGACAGGUUGCAUGUCUUCCCGGCGGAGGCGGCUAGCGCGGCGUCCCUAGUGGAGUUUGAUUGGUGGGGCUGAUCGUGGGGAAGAGGAGUCAGCUAAUGGAUCUCGCGGGGCGGUUCUCGGACGAUUUGAGCGCAGCUUAACUGGGCAGCACGGGGUCCUGCUGCUCUGUGCGGCGAGGAAACAAGUGUGGCUGCUGGCGCCGCCGCCAUGUCCGGUUUCAGUGAGAGUGAGGGGGACAUCGCAGAUGCCAUUGACCGGGGGGGCGUUGAAGCACAUCUGGAUGGAGACACUGUAAUUGAAGAUCGAACAGAAAGUGGCGAUGGAGGCUCCGCUCAGUCUACUGGCAAGGUGAAUCUGCAAUCGCCGGGAUAGACUAGGAGGUAAUUAGCAUAUUCAUAAAAAUGCAUUCGUCUCUUGCAUCAGUAGGUGAUAUGAUCUGCACGCUCUGUAAGUGUCACUCCCUCCGUCCCAAAAUAAGUGACUCAACUUUGUACUAACUAAAGUUAGUACAGGUUAGUACAAAGUUGAGUCACUUAUUUUGGGACAGAGGGAGUACGUUGGAAGUCUCGAUUGAAUAAAUCACAUUGUGAUUGCCGUAUGUGUGCUCCUGGGUAUUAAUGUGCAGCUGGAGUUGUAAUUGCAGGGGAAUUCUAUAAAAAGAAAACAGAAGGCCAUGUUCCUGUUUAGAGUGGUAUAUAGGUUGGUAUAGGUUGAAAAAAGUCAAUCUGUAGCAAUCGGCCGGUGCUCAACUCGGCCGAGCUAACGGAUUUUGUGAACUUCACACCCAAGGUACAAACCAUCCCCCACGAACCUGUAGUGCUGGAUAUAUUGAUGAUUCCAGACUAGUAAGAACUGCAGAACUCACAAAGAGAAUGUCCGCUGCCGUUGGUGAAUGACUUCAAACUUUAAAUUGAGAAAUUUGUCGAUAUAUCUGCUCUGCUACUGCACCUGUUGAAGAACUUUAUGUUUGAUUUUGCAGGGUUAGGGUGGGGAGUCAUCCAGCAGAUAUAACACCAUGUCCCAGCAGGGUGGGGGUACUCGAGCAAAUGAUAAGAGGAUAUGCAGAUAAGUUGGGUGAACAUGUGGUAGAGCCAGCACUAGGUUUGACAUUGGAGAAAAUCAACAAAGACCAGGCGGGAAAUGAUGCUAGCAAGACAAUAGAUAUGUUUGCGGAGAUACUCCCUCCAGUCCUUUUUACUCCGCGUAUUAGAUUUGCAUCCGGUCAAACAUUGCAAAGUUUGACCAUAUUUAUAUUAAAAAAUACCAAUGCCUAUAAUACCAAAUAUAUAUACUAUGAAACUACAUUUCAUAACGAAUCUAACAAUAUUGAUCUGGCAUUGUGAAUGCUGAUACUUUUUUUCUAUAUGUUUGGUCAAAGUAGAGAUACUUUGACUUUGGACAAAACUUAUAAGCACUUUGGCCAAGGACUGUGAAUUCCUGUUUAGAGUGCAACCUGAUGUUGGGAGCCAUCUUUUUCAGUCGUGUUGGGAGCCAUAUUAAGAGACUGAUGUGGGCUACCAGUAGCAGCCGUGACCACAUAGGAAGAAAACCUGCUCAAAUCCUCUGGGUGAAAAUUUUACAGCAAUCCAGGUGUAACAGGUCCUUGUAAUGCAUAAUUCAGCAAGUCUGAAAAUCAGUUGUUUUCUUUUUUCCUGUGGGGUGGGUGUACUCCAGAACUAGGAAGUUCUGUUUGUAGUAGAAUGCUGUGAUAGAUGUGGAGACGUAAAAUGACGCUUACGGGAUGUUUUAUUUGACUGAACUGAUUUUGUUUCUGUUUGAGAAAUUGUGUAUCAGGCGAUUUCUUGAGACAUGCAGUUCUGGGAGUUGGGCUUGGCACACUCAGGGUACCAGUUCCUGUCGAGGAGUAAACAUGACGAUCGCGUGCACUACCGAAGGAGGCCAGCAUAUGGAGUCUCCUUCGCCACGUACUAUCAUUGGAUUGACACGGAGAUGUCGGCUUGGGCAGUGACUGAGGUUCGUGAAAGAAGUCACCGUGCGUGGAAUAGUUUCUAUGCGGAAGAGCGACGCGAGAAGGCGGAAGCUGAGGAGAAAGCAGAGCAAGAGAGGGAGUUAAAAGAAUAAUAUGCUGAGCAACACUAUUUUUUUCAGGAUUUAGGAAAGAAAAAUAGGGAAGAGGCUCGUCGCAUGAAGGAGCAGGAACGACAGCAAAAAGAGGCUCGUGAGGCGGAGAGGCAGAGAAAGAAAGAAAGGGCUCGUGAGGCCAAGGCAGCAAAAGAAGCUGGCGAUGGAAAAGGAAAAUAUCCACGCUGGACUCAGUAGA